rnacentral:rRNA from 1 species
GUGAGGAAUAUUGGUCAAUGGGCGGGAGCCUGAACCAGCCAAGUCGCGUGAAGGAAGAAGGAUCUAUGGUUCGUAAACUUCUUUUGCAGGGGAAUAAAGUGCAGGACGUGUCCUGUUUUGUAUGUACCCUGAGAAUAAGGAUCGGCUAACUCCGUGCCAGCAGCCGCGGUAAUACGGAGGAUCCGAGCGUUAUCCGGAUUUAUUGGGUUUAAAGGGUGCGUAGGUGGUUUGAUAAGUCAGUGGUGAAAGUUUGCAGCUUAACUGUAAAAAUGCCGUUGAAACUGUCGGACUUGAGUGUAAAUGAGGUAGGCGGAAUGCGUGGUGUAGCGGUGAAAUGCAUAGAUAUCACGCAGAACUCCGAUUGCGAAGGCAGCUUACUAAGCUACAACUGACACUGAAGCACGAAAGCGUGGGGAUCAAACAGGAUUAGAAACCCCGGUAGUCC